rnacentral:rRNA from 1 species
CCUACGGGAGGCAGCAGUAGGGAAUAUUGCUCAAUGGGGGAAACCCUGAAGCAGCAACGCCGCGUGGAGGAUGAAGGUUUUCGGAUUGUAAACUCCUUUUGUUAGAGAAGAUAAUGACGGUAUCUAACGAAUAAGCACCGGCCAACUCCGUGCCAGCCGCCGUGGUAAUACGGGGGGUGCAAGCGUUACUCGGAAUCACUGGGCGUAAAGCGCGCGUAGGCGGGAUAGCAAGUCAGUUGUGAAAUCCUAUGGCUUAACCAUAGAACUGCAUUUGAAACUGUUAUUCUAGAGUAUGGGAGAGGUAGGUGGAAUUCUUGGUGUAGGGGUAAAAUCCGUAGAGAUCAAGAGGAAUACUCAUUGCGAAGGCGACCUGCUAGAACAUAACUGACGCUGAUGCGCGAAAGCGUGGGGAGCGAAUAGGAUUAGAUACCCCAGUAGUC